rnacentral:rRNA from 1 species
GUCUUAACUGGGCGUUAAGUUGCAGGGUAUAGACCCGAAACCCGGUGAUCUAGCCAUGGGCAGGUUGAAGGUUGGGUAACACUAACUGGAGGACCGAACCGACUAAUGUUGAAAAAUUAGCGGAUGACUUGUGGCUGGGGGUGAAAGGCCAAUCAAACCGGGAGAUAGCUGGUUCUCCCCGAAAGCUAUUUAGGUAGCGCCUCGUGAAUUCAUCUCCGGGGGUAGAGCACUGUUUCGGCAAGGGGGUCAUCCCGACUUACCAACCCGAUGCAAACUGCGAAUACCGGAGAAUGUUAUCACGGGAGACACACGGCGGGUGCUAACGUCCGUCGUGAAGAGGGAAACAACCCAGACCGCCAGCUAAGGUCCCAAAGUCAUGGUUAAGUGGGAAACGAUGUGGGAAGGCCCAGACAGCCAGGAUGUUGGCUUAGAAGCAGCCAUCAUUUAAAGAAAGCGUAAUAGCUCACUGGUCGAGUCGGCCUGCGCGGAAGAUGUAACGGGGCUAAACCAUGCACCGAAGCUGCGGCAGCGACACUGUGUGUUGUUGGGUAGGGGAGCGU